UAUUUGUCAAUGGGCGGGAGCCUGAACCAGCCAAGUAGCGUGAAGGAUGACGGCCCUACGGGUUGUAAACUUCUUUUAUAAGGGAAUAAAGUUCGCCACGUGUGGUGUUUUGUAUGUACCUUAUGAAUAAGCAUCGUCUAAUUCCGUGCCUGCAGCCGCGGUAAUACGGAAGAUGCGUGCGUUAUCCGGAUUUAUUGGGUUUAAAGGGAGCGUAGGCGGGCUUUUAAGUCAGCGGUCAAAUGCCACGGCUCAACCGUGGCCAGCCGUUGAAACUGCAAGCCUUGAGUCUGCACAGGGCACAUGGAAUUCGUGGUGUAGCGGUGAAAUGCUUAGAUAUCACGAAGAACUCCGAUCGCGAAGACAUUGUGCCGGGGCAGCACUGACGCUGAGGCUCGAAAGUGCGGGUAUCAAACAGG
rnacentral:rRNA from 1 species